UACAGGAGACUGCGAGCGUUAUUCGGAUUCAGCUGGGCGUAAAGGGUGCGCAGGCGGCCAUGUGUGUGAGGCGUGAAAGCCCCGGGGGCUUAACCCCGGAAUUGCACCUCAAACUACAUGGCUAGAGCUUGGAGAGGUAGCAGAAUUCACGGUGUAGCAGUGAAAUGCGUAGAUAUCGUGAGGAAUACCAGAGGCGAAGGCGGCUACCUGGACAAUUGCUGACGCUC
rnacentral:rRNA from 1 species